rnacentral:rRNA from 1 species
UUCGCAAUGCCCGAAAGGGUGACGAAGCGACGCCGCGUGGGUGAGGAAGGCCUUCGGGUUGUAAAGCCCUGUCAGGAGUUAAGAAAUGUAAGUGCGCUAAUAUCGCAUUUAUUUGACGAAGGCUCCAAAGGAAGCCACGGCUAACUCUGUGCCAGCAGCCGCGGUAAUACAGAGGUGGCAAGCGUUGUUCGGAAUUAUUGGGCGUAAAGAGCACGUAGGUGGGUUUGUAAGUCAGAUGUGAAAGCCUUCUGUUCAACGGAAGAAUUGCAUCUGAAACUGCAGGUCUUGAGUGUAGGAGGGGAGAAUGGAACUUCUGGUGGAGCGGUGAAAUGCGUAGAUAUCAGAAGGAACGCCGGCGGCGAAAGCGAUUCUCUGGCCUAUUACUGACACUCAGUGUGCGAAAGCUAGGGGAGCAAACGGGAUUAGAUACCCCGGUAGUCCUAGCCGUAAACGAUGGGCACUAAGUAGAGGGGUUUU